AGACAAGUGUCUAUUUCUUUCUCCUAACUCUGUUUUUUUAUUUCCUCUACUGGUAGUACGUGUACGGGGCGAGAGUGUCUUGUAUUUUUUUUGUUUUGAAUUGUUUUGCUACGUCACAAAGUCCGGUGACAUCUAUGGGUCAUUCUUUGUCAUGAGGCAGUUCACCCUCUGAGUUUGGUUGUAACGGACGGUGUGUUGGCCCGUAAAACGUUAUUUGUCUGUACCAUUUUCUCGGACUUAUUAUUCAGUUGGAUUUUUGGGACCCCUGUUUAGGGGUGCCAGUGUUGGAGUUGUGGGCGUCGCUUGCCGUCUCAGAAAUACAUAUUGCAGUUUUUUUUAUUGUCAUUGUCAAACUUUACUAUUACCGAGGUUGGCAGUGUUGUGACGCCAGUCGGUCAGAGUCUGGUGGACCAUAAAGCCAGGGUGACAAGUUAAUAGCCGUAGCAAAGGGUGCCAGUGUUGGAGUUGUGGGCGUCGCUUGCCGUCUCAGAAAUACAUAUUGCAGUUUUUUUUAUUGUCAUUGUCAAACUUUACUAUUACCGAGGUUGGCAGUGUUGUGACGCCAGUCGGUCAGAGUCUGGUGGACCAUAAAGCCCGGGUGACAAGUUAAUAGCCGUAGCAAAGGUGCAUAAAUUAAUUAUUGUAUAAUAUCUUUAUAUAUAUCUAUUAUAUAUAUAUAUAUAUAUAUAUAUAUAUAUAUAUAUAUAUAUCUAAUAUAUAUACUGUCUAUUUGUCAUCCUCAUUGUACAUACACAUAUAUGUUUCAUACAAUUAAAUUCAUUUAUUUUUGUUGUUAUUUAAACUAUUCACCUAGUUGUUUACUGUAUGUACGACUGUGUGUGAGUGAUGUUCUUGUCAGGUUGAACCCCGGGACCUUAACAGUAUA